rnacentral:piRNA from 1 species
UUAAAUAUUUUUCAUGAUUAAAUAUAGGUG